GGACGCAUAGCUCAGUUGGUUAGAGCACGUGCUUCACACGCACGGGGUCACAGGUUCGAGUCCUGUUGUGUCCACCA
rnacentral:tRNA from 1 species